rnacentral:rRNA from 1 species
UACGUAGGGUGCGAGCGUUAAUCGGAAUUACUGGGCGUAAAGCGUGCGCAGGCGGUUCGCCAAGUCAGGUGUGAAAUCCCCGGGCUUAACCUGGGAAUUGCGCUUGAAACUAGCGGGCUUGAGUGUGGCAGAGGGGGGUGGAAUUCCACGUGUAGCAGUGAAAUGCGUAGAGAUGUGGAGGAACACCGAUGGCGAAGGCCGCCCCCUGGGUCAACACUGACGCUCAUGCACGAAAGCGUGGGGAGCAAACAGG